GUAUCUUUCGGGUUUGUCAGGAAGCAUGCUGUGAGCCAUGAUAUUGUUUAGGACUUGAUUUGGAGUCAACUUGUCGAGCUUCUUCUCAUAGAUAAUUGCCUUCACCAAAUCAUAGUCCGGCUUUAGAAGGCUAUGAAUGAUCUUGCGAUUGACUUCCUUAUCAUUAAUGUUCUUCACACCUGAAGGAUUGAUCUUAUUCACAAGAACAUUUAAGCGUGAGUAUGUUGGGGGUGCGCCUUAGGUGG
rnacentral:lncRNA from 1 species